rnacentral:rRNA from 1 species
UACGUAGGGGGCAAGCGUUGUCCGGAAUUAUUGGGCGUAAAGAGCGUGUAGGCGGUCCGGUAAGUCAGCUGUGAAAGUCAAGGGCUCAACCCUUGAAAGCCGGUUGAUACUGUCGGGCUAGAGUCCGGAAGAGGCGAGUGGAAUUCCCGGUGUAGCGGUGAAAUGCGCAGAUAUCGGGAGGAACACCGGUGGCGAAGGCGGCGAUCUGGGAAGAUACUGACGCUGAGGUGCGAAAGCGUGGGGAGCAAACAGG